UACAGAGGGUGCGAGCGUUAAUCGGAGUUACUGGGCGUAAAGGGCGCGUAGGCGGUUAUAUAAGUGAGAUGUGAAAUCCCUGGGCUUAACCUAGGAACUGCAUCUCAUACUGUAUGACUGGAGUAUUGUAGAGGGUAGUGGAAUUUCCGGUGUAGCGGUGAAAUGCGUAGAGAUCGGAAGGAACACCAGUGGCGAAGGCGGCUACCUGGACAAAUACUGACGCUGAGGCGCGAGAGCGUGGGGAGCAACAGGG
rnacentral:rRNA from 1 species